rnacentral:tRNA from 1 species
CAGGGAGACAACAAAAUGUUUAAUAUUAUUAUUUUGUCACCUAGGUCGAUCGGUAUCUCACGUUUUUAAUUUAUUAAGAAUUUCAUUUCCUAAGUUUUUCUAGGUCACACCCAUAAAUUUUCCUGGGCCAUUAGCUCAGGUGGUUAGAGCGCACCCCUGAUAAGGGUGAGGUCCCUGGUUCAAGUCCAGGAUGGCCCAUAUCUCUAUGUUGGGGGUAUAGCUCAGUUGGUAGAGCGCCUGCUUUGCAAGCAGGAUGUCAGCGGUUCGAGUCCGCUUACCUCCACUGAUUACCACCUCUUCCAUAUUUCUAGAAGGAAAAUUGUUUUGAGUUGUGAUCAAAUUCUGAACGAAUCUAGCUUCCUAAUGAAAUCAUUAAGAUGCUGGACUCAUUGAAUUAUUUCAUUGAUUUCAGAGAACCUUGACAACUGCAUAGAUUAUUUUAAAGACAAUAAGCAUCUUUAAUGAUGCAGAUUUAUUAUUUGUGCGAAUGCAUUAAUAACAAUUCUAUUAAGCUGAUGCUUCAAUUUUGAAGUUAUU